rnacentral:rRNA from 1 species
GUAGGUGGCAAGCGUUGUCCGGAAUUAUUGGGCGUAAAGCGCGCGCAGGCGGUUCUUUAAGUCUGAUGUGAAAGCCCACGGCUCAACCGUGGAGGGUCAUUGGAAACUGGAGAACUUGAGUACAGAAGAGGAAAGCGGAAUUCCACGUGUAGCGGUGAAAUGCGUAGAGAUGUGGAGGAACACCAGUGGCGAAGGCGGCUUUCUGGUCUGUAACUGACGCUGAGGCGCGAAAGCGUGGGGGGAGCAAACAGGAUUAGAUACCCUGGUAGUCCACGCCGUAAACGAUGAGUGCUAAGUGUUAGGGGGUUUCCGGCCCUUAGUGCUGCAGCUAACGCAUUAAGCACUCCGCCUGGGAGUACGGCCGCAAGGCUG